rnacentral:rRNA from 1 species
AUUGAACGCUGGCGGCAUGCCUUACACAUGCAAGUCGAACGGCAGCGGGGGAGAAGCUUGCUUUUCCUGCCGGCGAGUGGCGAACGGGUGAGUAAUACAUCGGAACGUGCCCUGUAGUGGGGGAUAACUAGUCGAAAGAUUAGCUAAUACCGCAUACGACCUGAGGGUGAAAGUGGGGGACCGCAAGGCCUCAUGCUAUAGGAGCGGCCGAUGUCUGAUUAGCUAGUUGGUGGGGUAAAGGCCUACCAAGGCGACGAUCAGUAGCUGGUCUGAGAGGACGAUCAGCCACACUGGGACUGAGAUACGGCCGAGACUCUUACGGGAGGCAGCAGUGGGGAAUUUUGGACAAUGGGGGCAACCCUGAUCCAGCAAUGCCGCGUGAGUGAAGAAGGCCUUCGGGUUGUAAAGCUCUUUCGGACGAAACGAAACGGUUACGGUGAAAAAUCGUGACUAAUGACGGUACCGUAAGAAGAAGCACCGGCUAACUACGUGCCAGCCGCCGCGGUAA